GGGUAUGGUGUGAAGGAAGCUGAUGGGAGGUAUUAGUUGGAGAGGCUGGUUGUUGUUGAUAGAUGAGGGUAAUGGUGUGAAGGAAGCUGAUGGGAGGUAUUAGUUGGA